GUUUAAGCGGCUGCUACCAUGCAAGUCGAGCGGUAGCACAGAGAAGCUUGCUUCUUGGGUGACGAGCGGCGGACGGGUGAGUAAUGCAUAGGAAUCUGCCCGAUAGUGGGGGAUAACCUGGGGAAACCCAGGCUAAUACCGCAUACGUCCUACGGGAGAAAGGGGGCUCCGGCUCCCGCUAUGGGAUGAGCCUAUGUCGGAUUAGCUAGUUGGUGAGGUAACGGCUCACCAAGGCAACGAUCCGUAGCUGGUCUGAGAGGAUGAUCAGCCACAUCGGGACUGAGACACGGCCCGAACUCCUACGGGAGGCAGCAGUGGGGAAUAUUGGACAAUGGGCGCAAGCCUGAUCCAGCCAUGCCGCGUGUGUGAAGAAGGCCCUCGGGUUGUAAAGCACUUUCAGCGAGGAAGAACGCCUAGCGGUUAAUACCCGCUAGGAAAGACAUCACUCGCAGAAGAAGCACCGGCUAACUCCGUGCCAGCAGCCGCGGUAAUACGGAGGGUGCAAGCGUUAAUCGGAAUUACUGGGCGUAAAGCGCGCGUAGGUGGCUUGAUAAGCCGGUUGUGAAAGCCCCGGGCUCAACCUGGGAACGGCAUCCGGAACUGUCAAGCUAGAGUGCAGGAGAGGAAGGUAGAAUUCCCGGUGUAGCGGUGAAAUGCGUAGAGAUCGGGAGGAAUACCAGUGGCGAAGGCGGCCUUCUGGACUGACACUGACACUGAGGUGCGAAAGCGUGGGUAGCAAACAGGAUUAGAUACCCUGGUAGUCCACGCCGUAAACGAUGUCGACCAGCCGUUGGGUGCCUAGCGCACUUUGUGGCGAAGUUAACGCGAUAAGUCGACCGCCUGGGGAGUACGGCCGCAAGGUUAAAACUCAAAUGAAUUGACGGGGGCCCGCACAAGCGGUGGAGCAUGUGGUUUAAUUCGAUGCAACGCGAAGAACCUUACCUACUCUUGACAUCCUGCGAAUUCGGUAGAGAUACCUUAGUGCCUUCGGGAACGCAGAGACAGGUGCUGCAUGGCUGUCGUCAGCUCGUGUGUGAAAUGUUGGGUUAAGUCCCGUAACGAGCGCACCCUUGUCCUUAUUUGCAGCACGUAUGGUGGUCUCUAGAGACUGCUGGUGACAAACGAGAGUGGGACGACGUCAGUCAUCAUGCCUUACGAGUAGCCUACCACGUGCCUACCAUGACGGUACAUGAUGCACUCGCGAAGAGUGGACUUAUCGAAAAGCCGGUUUCUCAGAUUCC
rnacentral:rRNA from 1 species